GCUAGGCAAGAUGUUGGCAUAGCUGAAUGAUCGCUAUAACAACUAUCAGCUUCGCCACAUUCUGCCACGCA
rfam:Caenorhabditis elegans chromosome II